rnacentral:rRNA from 3 species
ACAUACGACCAUAGGGUGUGGAGAACAGGGCUUCCCGUCCGCUCAGCCGUACUUAAGCCACACGCCGGUGAGUUAGUAGUUGGGUGGGUGACCACCAGCGAAUCCUCACUGUUGUAUGUUU